rnacentral:rRNA from 1 species
AGCGGCAGGCUUACACAUGCAAGUCGAGGGGUAAGUUCCUACUUGUAGGAAACACGACCGGCGCACGGGUGAGUAACGCGUAUGCAACCUACCUAUAACUGGGGAAUAGCCCGGAGAAAUCCGGAUUAAUACCCCAUAAUGUUUCUGAGACACCUGGUUUAAAAAUUAAAGUUCCGGUGGAUAAGGAUGGGCAUGCGUCCUAUUAGUUAGUUGGUGAGGUAACGGCUCACCAAGACUACGAUAGGUAGGGGGCCUGAGAGGGUGAUCCCCCACACUGGUACUGAGACACGGACCAGACUCCUACGGGAGGCAGCAGUAAGGAAUAUUGCUCAAUGGAGGCAACUCUGAAGCAGCCAUGCCGCGUGCAGGAUGAAUGCCCUACGGGUUGUAAACUGCUUUUAUAUAGGAAGAAACCUCUCUACGUGUAGGGAGCUGACGGUACUAUACGAAUAAGGACCGGCUAACUCCGUGCCAGCAGCCGCGGUAAUACGGAGGGUCCAAGCGUUAUCCGGAUUCAUUGGGUUUAAAGGGUGCGUAGGCGGAUUAUUAAGUCAGUGGUGAAAUCCUGCAGCUUAACUGUAGAACUGCCAUUGAUACUGAUAAUCUUGAGUCUAGUUGAGGCGAGCGGAAUGUGUAAUGUAGCGGUGAAAUGCUUAGAUAUUACACAGAACACCGAUUGCGUAGGCAGCUCGCUAAGCUACAACUGACGCUGAGGCACGAAAGCGUGGGGAGCGAACAGGAUUAGAUACCCUGGUAGUCCACGCUGUAAACGAUGAUCACUCGUUGUUGGCGAUACAUUGUCAGCGACUGAGCAAAAGCAUUAAGUGAUCCACCUGGGGAGUACGGUCGCAAGAUUGAAACUCAAAGGAAUUGACGGGGGCCCGCACAAGCGGAGGAACAUGUGGUUUAAUUCGAUAAUACGCGAGGAACCUUACCUGGGCUUAAAUGUAGAGUGCAUAAACGGGAAACUGUUUUUUCCUUCGGGACUCUUUACAAGGCGCUGCAUGGUUGUCGUCAGCUCGUGCCGUGAGGUGUCGGGUUAAGUCCCAUAACGAGCGCAACCCCUAUCGUUAGUUGCCAGCGAGUCAAGUCGGGGACUCUAAGAAGACUGCCGGCGUAAGCCGCGAGGAAGGCGGGGAUGACGUCAAGUCAGCACGGCCCUUACGUCCAGGGCUACACACGUGUUACAAUGGCCAGUACAAAGGGCAGCUACCGGGCAACCGGAUGCUAAUCUCAAAAGCUGGUCUCAGUUCGGAUUGAAGUCUGCAACUCGACUUCAUGAAGCUGGAAUCGCUAGUAAUCGCGUAUCAGCAACGACGCGGUGAAUACGUUCCCGGGCCUUGUACACACCGCCCGUCAAGCCAUGGGAGUUUGGGGUGCCUGAAGUCCGUAACCGCGAGGAUCGGCCUAGGGGUAAAACCGGUGACUGGGGCUAAGU